AACUUUUAACAACGGAUCACUUGGCUCUCGCAUCGAUGAAGAACGCAGCGAAAUGCGAUAAGUAAUGUGAAUUGAGAAUUCAGUGAAUCAUCGAAUCUUUGAACGCACCUUGCACCCUUUGGUAUUCCGAAGGGUAUGCUCGUUUGAGUGUCAUUGUACUCUCACACUUCUGAUCCUUUGGAUCGGGAGCGGUGGACUUGGGUGUUGCUGCUUGACGGUGGCUCACCUCAAAUGCAUUAGUGCAUCUCCAGGUUGGACAUAGUACGGCGUGAUAAGUAUCUUCGCCGGCACCUCAUGAGAGGGUGGCCAAUCCGGAGCUCUGUGCCUCCAACCGUCUUCGGACAAUUUUGACAAUUUGACCUCAAAUCAGGUAGGACUACCCGCUGAACUUAAGCAUAUCAAUAAGCGGAGGCU
rnacentral:misc_RNA from 1 species